rnacentral:rRNA from 1 species
GACAGCAGCCGCCGCGGUAAUACGGAGGGGGCUAGCGUUGUUCGGAAUUACUGGGCGUAAAGCGCACGUAGGCGGUUUUGUAAGUCAGAGGUGAAAGCCCGGAGCUCAACUCCGGAACUGCCUUUGAGACUGCAUCACUUGAACGUCGGAGAGGUGAGUGGAAUUCCGAGUGUAGAGGUGAAAUUCGUAGAUAUUCGGAAGAACACCAGUGGCGAAGGCGGCUCACUGGACGACUGUUGACGCUGAGGUGCGAAAGCGUGGGGAGCAAACAGGAUUAGAUACCCCGGUAGUCCCUGUCUCUUAUAA